rnacentral:rRNA from 1 species
GACAGAGGGUGCAAACGUUGUUCGGAAUUACUGGGCGUAAAGCGCGUGUAGGCGGCUAAGUAAGUCGGGCGUGAAAUCCCACGGCUCAACCGUGGAAGUGCACUCGAAACUGCGUAGCUAGAGUCCUGGAGAGGAAGGUGGAAUGCUUGGUGUAGAGGUGAAAUUCGUAGAUAUCAAGCGGAACACCAGUGGCGAAGGCGGCUCACUGGCCCGGUACUGACGCUGAGGUGCGAAAGCGUGGGGAGCAAACAGG